rnacentral:tRNA from 1 species
GCAAUGGUGGUUCAGUGGUAGAAUCUUUCCUUCUAUGUAGGAGACCUGAGUUCGAUUCCUGGCCAGGGCA